UUUAUUAGAGGGGCCAAAAAUUGGUGGCCGGGAUUUUGUGAAUUGUUUGAACGUUGAACAACAGAUGUAGUAGCGCAAAAGAUGUUAUGCUAGAAAUAACCUAUGUUUUCAUAUAUUAAUAUCUAUUUUGAUUGAAUGUUGUAAGAAUCUUUAAUCUCAGUCGACAGUGAUUAAUGAAUAAUUGUGUGAGUGUGUGAAAUAGACUAGUUAUUAUUAUUUGAAAUAUAUUAAGAGUCUCGGGUCUCUGCUAGUGUCAUCACUUUGAAACAUGUAUGUUUAUUUUUAAAGCUACAUUUUUAUGCAUCGCAAGUGUUCACUUGAGCAAGUUUGACAGUUGUAAUCUGUCGUGCUCUUGGAAGUAUCCGUAAAAUAAACAAGUAAGAGUUUAAUGGUCAAGAUUUUACGACCUAUGGUAUCGAACAUCUGUGUCUGGGAUUUCACAGAGAGAUAUUUAUGAUGUUGUGGUUUUUACAUAAUGAGUUCUAAUGAGAUUUAAUGGAUAGAUUAGUUGAUUUGUAACUAUAAAAUUUAUGCACACUUGUCAUUUUGACAGAUCAGAUAAACAGAAUUUCCGUUUCAAGACUGCAAUUUAAUUACACUGGGAUUUAAGUUUAACCCAUGAUCAUUGAUUAUAAUCAUUGAAACAUGUUUUAUUGUUUUCUGUUUUCAUAAUAUACAUUUCGACAUAAUAUUUUUUUACUGCAUAUUUCAACGAAGAAAAAGAAACCUUUUAUUCUAGAUAUUUUAAAACUUUCUGUUUUUAUUU
rnacentral:lncRNA from 1 species